rnacentral:rRNA from 1 species
UACGUAGGGGCUAGCGUUGUCCGGAAUCACUGGGCGUAAAGGGCGCGUAGGCGGCUUCUUAAGCGUGUGGUGAAAGCUCAGGGCUCAACUCUGAGUCGGCCAUGCGAACUGGGAGGCUUGAGCACUGUAGAGGCAGGUGGAAUUCCGGGUGUAGCGGUGGAAUGCGUAGAGAUCCGGAAGAACACCGGUGGCGAAGGCGGCCUGCUGGGCAGUAGCUGACGCUGAGGCGCGACAGCGUGGGGAGCAAACAGG